ACAGAGACUGCAAGCGUUAUUCGGAUUCACUGGGCGUAAAGGGUGCGCAGGCGGUCGUGUGUGUCAGAUGUGAAAUCCCGGAGCUUAACUCCGGAACUGCGUCUGAAACUACAUGACUAGAGCAUUGGAGAGGGAAGUGGAAUUCAUGGUGUAGCAGUGAAAUGCGUAGAUAUCAUGAGGAACACCAGAGGCGAAGGCGACUUCCUGGACAAUAGCUGACGCUCAGGCACGAAAGCAUGGGGAGCAAAAGGGAUUAGAUACCCCUGUAGUCCAUGCCCUAAACGGUGCACACUAGGUCUUGGAGGAUUCGACCCCUUCAGGGCCCAAGCUAACGCGUUAAGUGUGCCGCCUGAGGACUACGGUCGCAAGACUA
rnacentral:rRNA from 1 species